GACGAACGCUGGCGGCGUGCUUAACACAUGCAAGUCGAACGAAGAGCGAUGGAAGCUUGCUUCUAUCAAUCUUAGUGGCGAACGGGUGAGUAACGCGUAAUCAACCUGCCCUUCAGAGGGGGACAACAGUUGGAAACGACUGCUAAUACCGCAUACGAUCUAAUCUCGGCAUCGAGGAUAGAUGAAAGGUGGCCCCUACAUGUAAGCUAUCACUGAAGGAGGGGAUUGCGUCUGAUUAGCUAGUUGGAGGGGUAACGGCCCACUAAGGCGAUGAUCAGUAGCCGGUCUGAGAGGAUGAACGGCCACAGUGGGACUGAGACACGGCCCAGACUCCUACGGGAGGCAGCAGUGGGGAAUCUUCCGCAAUGGACGAAAGUCUGACGGAGCAACGCCGCGUGAGUGAUGACGGCCUUCGGGUUGUAAAGCUCUGUUAAUCGGGACGAAAGGCCUUCUUGCGAAUAGUGAGAAGGAUUGACGGUACCGGAAUAGAAAGCCACGGCUAACUACGUG
rnacentral:rRNA from 1 species